rnacentral:rRNA from 1 species
CCUACGGGUGGCAGCAGUGAGGAAUAUUGGUCAAUGGACGAGAGUCUGAACCAGCCAAGUAGCGUGAAGGAUGACUGCCCUAUGGGUUGUAAACUUCUUUUAUAUGGGAAUAAAAUGUUCCACGUGUGGGAUUUUGUAUGUACCAUAUGAAUAAGGAUCGGCUAACUCCGUGCCAGCAGCCGCGGUAAUACGGAGGAUCCGAGCGUUAUCCGGAUUUAUUGGGUUUAAAGGGUGCGCAGGCGGAAGAUCAAGUCAGCGGUAAAAUUGAGAGGCUCAACCUCUUCGAGCCGUUGAAACUGGUUUUCUUGAGUGAGCGAGAAGUAUGCGGAAUGCGUGGUGUAGCGGUGAAAUGCAUAGAUAUCACGCAGAACUCCGAUUGCGAAGGCAGCUUACUAAACUGUGACUGACAUUGAUGCUCGAAAGUGUGGGUAUCAAACAGGAUUAGAUACCCCAGUAGUC